UACGAAGGGGGCUAGCGUUGCUCGGAAUCACUGGGCGUAAAGGGCGCGUAGGCGGCCAUUCAAGUCGGGGGGUGAAAGCCUGUGGCUCAACCACAGAAUUGCCUUCGAUACUGUUUGGCUUGAGUUUGGUAGAGGUUGGUGGAACUGCGAGUGUAGAGGUGAAAUUCGUAGAUAUUCGCAAGAACACCAGUGGCGAAGGCGGCUCACUGGCCCGGUACUGACGCUGAGGUGCGAAAGCGUGGGGAGCAAACAGG
rnacentral:rRNA from 1 species